UACGGAGGGUGCAAGCGUUAUCCGGAUUCACUGGGUUUAAAGGGUGCGUAGGUGGGCAGUUAAGUCAGUGGUGAAAUCUCCGGGCUCAACCCGGAAACUGCCAUUGAUACUAUCUGUCUUGAAUAUCGUGGAGGUAAGCGGAAUAUGUCAUGUAGCGGUGAAAUGCUUAGAUAUGACAUAGAACACCAAUUGCGAAGGCAGCUCACUACCCGAAUAUUGACACUGAGGCACGAAAGCGUGGGGAUCAAACAGG
rnacentral:rRNA from 1 species